rnacentral:pre_miRNA from 1 species
AUAAUACUCCCUUCGUCUUAAAAUUCUGGUCUUAAAUUUGUCUAGAUGUGAAUGUAUCUAGUCAUGUUUUAACAUUUAAAUACAUUUAUUUCUAGACAAACCUAAAACAAGAAUUUUAAGACAGAGGGAGUAUUUG